AUUGAACGCUGGCGGCAUGCCUAACACAUGCAAGUCGAACGGCAGCACGGCAGUAGCAAUACUGUGGGUGGCGAGUGGCGGACGGGUGAGGAAUACGUCGGAAUCUGCCCAGUCGUGGGGGAUAACUAGCCGAAAGGUUAGCUAAUACCGCAUACGACCGAGAGGUGAAAGCGGGGACCGGCAAGGCCUCGCGCGAUUGGAUGAGCCGACGUCGGAUUAGCUAGUUGGUGGGGUAAAGGGCCCACCAAGGCGACGAUCCGUAGCUGGUCUGAGAGGAUGAUCAGCCACACUGGAACUGAGACACGGUCCAGACUCCUACGGGAGGCAGCAGUGGGGAAUUUUGGACAAUGGGCGCAAGCCUGAUCCAGCCAUGCCGCGUGAGUGAAGAAGGCCUCGGUUGUAAGUACUCUUCUAGCCGGAAACGAAAACGACGACAGUUAAGUAACCUAGUGCGGA
rnacentral:rRNA from 1 species